CAGUCGCCGCGGUAAUACGUAGGUGGCGAGCGUUGUCCGGAAUUAUUGGGCGUAAAGGGAGCGCAGGCGGGCGAGUAAGUCUUUCUUAAAAGUGCGGGGCUCAACCCCGUGAGGGGAGAGAAACUACUCAUCUUGAGUGCAGGAGAGGAAAGCGGAAUUCCUAGUGUAGCGGUGAAAUGCGUAGAUAUUAGGAAGAACACCAGUGGCGAAGGCGGCUUUCUGGACUGUAACUGACGCUGAGGCUCGAAAGCCAGGGGAGCGAACGGGAUUAGAUACCCGCGUAGUCCCUGUCUCUUAUACA
rnacentral:rRNA from 1 species